UACGGGGGGAGCAAGCGUUGUUCGGAUUUACUGGGCGUAAAGGGCGCGUAGGCGGCGCAACAAGUCACUUGUGAAAUCUCCGGGCUUAACCCGGAGCGGCCAAGUGAUACUGUCGUGCUAGAGUGCGGAAGGGGCUACUGGAAUUCUCGGUGUAGCGGUGAAAUGCGUAGAUAUCGAGAGGAACACCUGCGGCGAAGGCGGGUAGCUGGGCUGACACUGACGCUGAGGCGCGAAAGCCAGGGGAGCGAACGGG
rnacentral:rRNA from 1 species